CGCACAAGCAACGGAGCAUGUGGUUUAAUUCGAAGCAACGCGAAGAACCUUACCAGGACUUGACAUUCCCUGUGACCGGUCCUUAAUAGGACCUUUNCCUUCGGGGGACAGAGGAGACAGGUGGUGCAUGGUUGUCGUCAGCUCGUGUCGUGAGAUGUUGGGUUAAGUCCCGCAACGAGCGCAACCCUUGUCUUUAGUUGCCAGCAGGUUAAGCUGGGCACUCUAGAGAGACUGCCGGUGACAAACCGGAGGAAGGUGGGGAUGACGUCAAAUCAUCAUGCCCCUUAUGUUCUGGGCUACACACGUGCUACAAUGGCUGGUACAACGGGAGGCCAAAGAGUAAUCUGGAGCGAAUCCCAAAAAGCCAGUCCCAGUUCGGAUUGUGGGCUGCAACUCGCCCACAUGAAGUUGGAGUUGCUAGUAAUCGCGGAUCAGAAUGUCGCGGUGAAUGCGUUCCCGGGUCUUGUACACACCGCCCGUCACACCACGGGAGCUUAGGGCACCCGAAGUCAGCUAUCUAACCGCAAGGAGGAAGCUGC
rnacentral:rRNA from 1 species